rnacentral:rRNA from 1 species
GUGCCCCCUUGUGGUCGGUGUACAGGUGGUGCAUGGCUGUCGUCAGCUCGUGUCGUGAGAUGUUGGGUUAAGUCCCGCAACGAGCGCAACCCUUGUUCUGUGUUGCCAGCAUGCCUUUCGGGGUGAUGGGGACUCACAGGAGACUGCCGGGGUCAACUCGGAGGAAGGUGGGGACGACGUCAAGUCAUCAUGCCCCUUAUGUCUUGGGCUGCACACGUGCUACAAUGGC